GACGAACGCUGGUGGCGUGCUUAACACAUGCAAGUCGAACGGGAUUUAGUAAACAUUAGCCUCGGUGGAAGAUUACUAAUGAGAGUGGCGAACGGGUGAUUAACUCUUUAUCAACCUGCCUAUGACAGUGGGAUAGCCUCCUGAAACCAGGAUUAAUACCGCAUAACAUCGUACAAACACAUGUUUUAACUUUCAUAUAUUUAUCGGUCAUAUAUGGGCUCGCAUCUGUUUAGCUUGUUGUUGAGAUAAACGCCCACCAAGGCGACGAUCAGUAGCCGGUCUGAGAGGAAGAACGGACACAUUGAAACUGAGACACAGUACAAAAUCCUACGGGAGGCCGCAGUGGGGAAUAUAGCAAAAUGGGGGAAAACAUGAAGCAGCGAGGACGCGAGAACGAAGAAGGUAUUAGUAUAGAAAAGUUCAGUCAAAUGGGAAGAUAAUGACAGUACCAAAGAAGAAAGCUCCGGCUAAAUACGUG
rnacentral:rRNA from 1 species